GACGAACGCUGGCGGCGUGCUUAACACAUGCAAGUCGAACGGAAAGGCCCUGCUUUUGCUGGGUUCUCGAUUGGCGAACGGGUGAGUAACACGCGAGUAACCUGUCCUUGUAUGUGUGAUAACUUCAGGAAACUGGGGCUAAUAUCGCAUAUGAGCUCUUGCUCCACGUGGGGGGUUGGUAAGUUUCGGCUGUGGGGGAUGGUCUCGCAGCUUAUGAGCUUGUUUGGCGAGUAGUGGCUUACAAGGGCUUUGACGGGUAGCCGGCCUGGGAGCGUUGACGGCCACAAGGGGACUAAGAUACGGAGCAGACUCGUACGGGAGGCAGCAGUGGAGAGUAUUGCGCAAUGAGGGCAAGCCUGAUGCGGAGACGCCGCGAGCGGAAUACCGGCUUUCGGGUUGUAAACCGCUGUGGACUGUAACGAAGAGUGAGUGACGGUAAUGGGUCAAGAAGCAACGGCUAACUACGUG
rnacentral:rRNA from 1 species